GAUGAACGCUGGCGGCGUGCCUAAUACAUGCAAGUAGAACGCUGAAGGAGGAGCUUGCUCUUCUGGAUGAGUUGCGAACGGGUGAGUAACGCGUAGGUAACCUGCCUGGUAGCGGGGGAUAACUAUUGGAAACGAUAGCUAAUACCGCAUGACAACAGUUAUUGCAUGAUAACUGUUUAAAAGGGGCAACUGCUCCACUACCAGAUGGACCUGCGUUGUAUUAGCUAGUUGGUGAGGUAACGGCUCACCAAGGCGACGAUACGUAGCCGACCUGAGAGGGGGAUCGGCCACACUGGGACGGAGACACGGCCCAGACUCCUACGGGAGGCAGCAGUAGGGAAUCUUCGGCAAUGGACGGAAGUCUGACCGAGCAACGCCGCGUGAGUGAAGAAGGUUGUCGGAUCGUAAAGCUCUGUUGUAAGAGAAGAACGAGUGUGAGAGUGGAAAGUUCACACUGUGACGGUAUCUUACCAGAAAGGGACGGCUAACUACGUG
rnacentral:rRNA from 1 species